GAUGAACGCUGGCGGCGUGCCUAAUACAUGCAAGUCGAGCGAACAGACGAGGAGCUUGCUCCUCUGACGUUGUCGGCGGACGGGUGAGUAACACGUGGAAAACCUACCUAUAAGAUUGGGAUACUUUCGGGAAACCUGAUCUAAUACCGGAUAAUAUAUUGAACCGCAUGGUUCAUUAGUGAAAUACGGUUUUUCUGUCACUUAUAGAUGGUUCCGCGCCGCAUUAGCUAGUUGGUAAGGUAACGGCUUACCAAGGUAACGAUGCGUAGCCGACCUGAGAGGGUGAUCGGCCACACUGGAACUGAGACACGGUCCAGACUCCUACGGGAGGCAGCAGUAGGGAAUCUUCCGCAAUGGGCGAAAGCCUGACGGAGCAACGCAGCGUGAGUGAUGAAGGUCUUCGGAUCGUAAAACUCUGUUAUUAGGGAAGAACAAAUGUGUAAGUAACUAUGCACGUCUUGACGGUACCUAAUCAGAAAGCAACGGCUAACUACGUG
rnacentral:rRNA from 1 species